rnacentral:piRNA from 1 species
UGGGAUCACGUCUUGUGAACAGCUGGAAGA